rnacentral:tmRNA from 1 species
GGGGCUGAUCUGGCUUUGACAGCAUGAUAAACUGGUAAGUAAGCAUGCCGGGCAAUGCAUUUUAUCCCGUAAAACUGUAGUGCAACAAAUUUAAAUGGCGGAAAUAAUUUCGCGCUCGCUGCUUGAUCGAAGUUUAGUAGAUUAAAAGCUUAAUCCCGGCUCCAGGUAGUCGGGACGGGCUGCCUCUCCGGCACUUCUCCCUGCAGUAAUGGAUUUAGAGGCACAUCGUAAGCCAGGGAUAGUCCGGGUGAUUCUCCUGAAUCCGGGUGAAAAUCAUAGGAGAUAAGGUUUUGGUUCGGUUGCCUGUUACCAGCCUUUACACGAAAACCAAUAACAGGAUAAGCAUGUAGAAAGCUUAUUGGUUGCUUGUUUGGACGGCGGUUCGAUUCCGCCCAGCUCCACAA